rnacentral:rRNA from 1 species
AUUCCAGCUCCAAUAGCGUAUAUUUAAGUUGUUGCAGUUAAAAAGCUCGUAGUUGGAUUUUGGGCGUGGCUGGCCGGUCCGCCGUUUCGGUGUGCACUGGCCGGGUAUGUCUUCUUGUCGAGGACGCGGUUCCGGCCUUCGUUGGCUGGGGCGCGGAGUCGGCGCGGUUACUUUGAAAAAAUUAGAGUGUUCAAAGCGGGCUUACGCUUGAAUAUAUUAGCAUGGAAUAACACGAUAGGACUCCGCUCCUAUUUUGUUGGUCUUCGGGACUGGAGUAAUGAUUAACAGGGACAGUCAGGGGCACUCGUAUUCCGCCGAGAGAGGCGAAAUUCUCAGACCAGCGGAAGACGAACCACUGCGAAAGCAUUUGCCAGGGAUGUUUUCAUCA